GUUGAAUCACCGGUUCCCGUACGAUCACCGAAGUUAAGCAACGCCGAGCUUGGUCAAUACCUAAAUGAGUGACCGCUUGGGAAUAUCAGGUGCUAUA